CACAGGUUGUCGUACUUAGCCUCAUGUUUUCCGAUUUCCGACCCACAAACUGUCUCCUCCACUCCAAUAACUACAUUUAUUUAUAGUUACCGGUGAAAGGUUUAAUUAUGAGUGUCUUUUUGCUGUAGAUAAGUGUCUGAAAGCAGUAAAUACAAUGGUGGAUACGAUAAUCUGGGAAUGCUGGGUCAUUUAACAAGUAAGAAUAUUAGAAAAUUAAAGAAAGAAAAAGGAAGAAAGAGAAUGAUAGGAAGUUAAAGAGAAGAAGAAAGAAGAAAAAAAAUAAUGUAACGCCGCUUUGCCUCGCCUCAGGGAAAACAAAGGCGCCUCACGAUCCGCAACGUUCGCCAUGAAAAAGAGGGGAAAAAAAAGUGAAUUUCCCGGAUUUUGGAGAUUUGUGAGCAUGAUACGCGUGCUUGAUGAAAAUAAAAAUACAAAAAACGAAUAAAAGUCCUCCACGUAAUUUCUUUCUUCAGGGAUAUUGCGCCCUAAGUACGAGUUUUUUUUUUUUAUAUAUUUAAUUAAUUCCCUACUUUUGUUUCCUUUAUUCAGUUUCUUGGUUACAUAUAAAGUCAAAUUACCUUGUCAGUUUUUUUUCUUUUUAUUUCCCUUAUAUUAACUAUCAAUCAAUCAAUCCUUUUUUUUUUAAGUUCAUUUUAGUAUUUAGUUUUAGAUUUGUAAAUAAGUUAAGAAGAAAUAAAUAUAUAUAACAUUAUACAUACAAUUUCUCUUCCCAAGGACCGUGACAAGAGUAACCUUUCCUAUAAACGUAUGAGAGAUGAAGGUCUGUGGAGUACUACCAUUGCAUCGAUCAUGUAUAAGCAAAUGGCUCUCUAUAUUGCAAGGAGUUAUUGCAUUAUGAAGAGCGCCUGAGUGAGUUACCUGGUAGUGCGUGUAUACCUGAGUGACUGAUGACGUAGCUUUUACCUGUAGUGAUGCAUUAUUUCAGGUAAAGGAGGGAAGGAAGAGUUAGGGAUCGAGAGGAAUGGAAUAGGAAGAGAAUAUAUAAAUUGAGUUACCUUGUAGUGCGUGAUAUACCUGAUUGAGUGGCUGAUGGCGUAGCUAUACCUGAACUGAUGCAUUAUUUCAGGUAAAGGAGGGAAGGAAGAGUUAGGGAUCGAGAGGAAUGGAAUAGGAAGAGUAUAUAUUAAUUGAGUUACCUUGUGGUGAUAUACCUGAGUGACUAAUGAUCAACGUACCUAUUACCUGUACUGAUGCGCAUUAUUUGAGGUACGGUACAUCAGGUAGAUAUAAUGAUAAUUCUGACUAACUAAAGAUGAACUAAUGCAGAUAUAAUUCGCUUGCUAUUAUUAUUAUUAUUAUUAUUAGUUAUUAUUAUUAUUUAGGGGGGAAGAUGAGUGACUUUUAUUUUAUUUCCGUAGCAAUUAACAAAGAUUAGAUGUGUCUUUUUCUAUUAUUUACUGUACUAUAGUUAAUGUUAUAUAUAUUCAUGAUUAUUUUGAUUAUUAUUUUAUUUAUUCAUGGAACAAUUAAUUAGCAGAGUCGAUGAAGCGUAUUUCGUUAUUUUUCUUCUUCAUUUUACUGUAUUUAUUAUUUAUUUAUGAAAGUUUUAUGUACUUUGCUAUUUGAGAACUCUCCUUCCUCAUAGUCCACUUUUUUUCGCGGUCCACUUAGCUCUCUCUCUCUCUCUCUCUCUCUCUCUCUCUCUCUCUCUCUCUCUCUCUCUCUCAGAUGAUUCUCCAUUUCCACAUCGCUUUCCUCUGCGUAACUUUCCCUUUUGUGUUCACGGACAGCGAGCAUCUACGUGUGUGUGUGUGUGUGUGUGUGUGUGUGUGUGUGUGUGUGUGAUUUAUUUUUAUGUUCAGAAGAGUGCGUCAACCUAGCUCGUAAUGGCUCAUGUGUGUGUGUGUGUGUGUGUGUGUGUGUGUGUGUGUUCAUCCUUCACCCACUUAUUAAAAUCAAUGUGGUUAAGUAAAUUGCUUUGGUAUUUGAGGAAUUCUAAGAAGAGGUUACUAAAUAUAUAAGUCCCCCCCCCCUCUCUCUCUCUCUCUCUCUCUAUCUCUUGUCACAAACACAAUAAUGGCAAUCAAUAAUCCUGUUAAUGGCUAAUAAUCAUUGCUCUGGGUGACUCACGUGAUCAGUUAUAGGCAAUCAGUUAGCCAUAAAAGAUAACCACAUAAUAUUCUAUACUUAUACCUGAUCCUGCUACCACCACUACUACUACUACUACUACUACUACUAUUACUAUUUCUUCUUCCACUUCUACUACUCUGUGUGUUUAUCAUUAUAUUUACUAUCCACCUCAAUUAUCAUAUCCAUCUUUUCACCAUCCUCCUCCUUACCAUCACCACCACCACCACUACUUCAUUGUUACGGACAUAUUAAUACCCUCCACUAAUACAUGAACCCCAAAAUUAUACACACAAGUUGAAAAUAUAAUACGAGAGGAAAAUAUAUACCAAGAAACAUAGAACUUUGUAGACGGUGAAGGAAAUUAUUAAUGGAAGAAAAAGAACUUUGUAGACGGUGAAGGAAAUUAUUAAUGGAAGAAAAACUAACUUAAAAAUUACCCCUUAAAAGAAAAAAAGAAUCCAUGUUUGUCACCCCAAUAAGAUGGAGUUCCAAAAAUUGAUAUUGUUCCACAUUGAAUAAAAGUUAAAAAUACAAGAAAGAAUACUAGCAAAAAAUAACACACACUUUAAAAUAUAAUACAAGAGGAAAAUAUAUACCAAGAAACACCUUUUUCAACCUUACACUCAUACCAGAACUCCUAAAAAUAGUUAAUAUGAGAAAGGUAUCCCAAUAACCCCACAUAGUACCCACCCCACAACCCCACAAAAUACCACACACUUGAAAAUACCAUACGAGAGGAAGGUAUGUACUAGGACACACCUUUUUCACCCUUCCAAUAAUACCAGAACCCCCAAAAAGUUAAAAAUACAAGAAAGAAUACUAACUAAAAUAACACACACACUUGAAAAUACCAUACGAGAGGAAGGUAUGUACUAGGACACACCUUUUUCAACCUUCCUCUAAUACCAGAACCCCCAAAAUACUUAAUAUGAGAAAGGUAUCCCAAUAACCCACUACCAACACCACAACCCCACAAAAUACCACACACUUAAAAAUACCAUACGAGAGGAAGGUAUGUACUAGGACACACCUUUUUCAACCUUCCUCUAAUACCAGAACCCCCAAAAUACUUAAUAUGAGAAAGGUAUCCCAAUAACCCACUACCAACACCACAACCCCACAAAAUACCACACACUUGAAAAUACCAUACGAGAGGAAGGUAUGUAAUAGGACACACCUUUUUCACCCUUCCUCUAAUACCAGAACCCCCAAAAUACUUAAUAUGAGAAAGGUAUCCCAAUAACCCACUACCAACACCACAACCCCACAAAAUACCACACACUUGAAAAUAUAAUACGAGGAAAAUAUAUACCAAGAAACACCUUUAGAAACAUUCCUCUUAUACCAGAACCCCCCCAAAAUACUUAAUAUGAGAAGUGUACCAAUAAUCCCACUACCAACACCACAACCCCACAAAAUACCACACACUUGAAAAUAUAAUACGAGGAAAAUAUAUACCAAGAAACACCUUUAGAAACAUUCCUCUUAUACCAGAACCUCCUCAAAAUACUUAAUAUGAGAAGUGUACCAAUAAUCCCACUACCAACACCACAACCCCACAAAAUACCACACACUUGAAAAUAUAAUACGAGGAAAAUAUAUACCAAGAAACACCUUUAGAAACAUUCCUCUUAUACCAGAACCCCCCCCAAAAUACUUAAUAUGAGAAGUGUACCAAUAACCCCACUACCAACACCACAACUCCACAAAAUACCACACACUUGGACAUACAGUACAGGAGGAAGGUGCAUACUAACAAGAGGCACAGAAACGAACCUUCUUCACUGUGUAGUAGUAAUAUAUUUCUCUCCGAGGUUCAGACUCGAUACAAAGGUCCUGAUAGUAGGGAAUAGCUAGUCUUGCAAACUUAACAGAGUAGUAUGAAAAGAUCUGUUCUGGGCUGUUCGUGCUGUCCGUUGUCUGUCUGUCUAUUCACAAACAUAAUAAAAGAGGUUGCAGAAGAAAUAGUAACAGUAGUAAUAGUAGUAGUAGUAUCAAAUUGUCAUAGUAUUAAGGGGAAGGGAAUGAAGAACGGAUACUCAGGAGGAAGAGAAAAGAAGGACGGAAGAAAUGAUAAAAUGAGUGAAAGGAGGAGGAAGGAGACCAGGGAGGAGAAAAAUAAAAA